GAGAGUAGAGGUAGGCGGUUGCAGAUCGAUUGUCAAAAUCGGUUUGAGGAAAGUCCGGGCUUCCAAAAGACCAAACUUGCUGGAUAACGUCCAGUGCGAGCGAUCGUGAGGAUAGUGCCACAGAAAGAUACCGCCAAAACAAUUCAAAAUUCGUCUUGGAAAGUUUGCUCAACGGGGGGAACCCCCGCACGCAACUUUCCGCAAAAUUCAAAAUUCAAAAUUAAGAGUUUUGAAAGUCAGAUUUUGAAUCUAGUUUUGGUAAGGGUGCAAAGGUGCGGUAAGAGCGCACCAGCAACGUCGAGAGGCGUUGGCUCGGUAAACCCCGGUUGGGAGCAAGGCGAAGGAACUAUGGUUGGUCUUUUACCAGUUCCGCAAAAUAGAGCCGCUAGAGGCGUUUGGUAACAUACGUCCCAGAUAGAUAACCGCCCUCAUUGUAGGGAAGUUGCAAAACAUCUCUACAGUAGAGAACAGAACCCGGCUUACGAUCUGCUCUCUUCU
rnacentral:RNase_P_RNA from 2 species